rnacentral:sRNA from 1 species
UACAUCUGGUUUCACGAAGCAUUUAUCAUUCACAUCAUCCUACCUUAAAGCUUCAACGACCCCAAUUAAGGACAUCCUUUCAGCAGUUCUCUUCUCUGACAAACCUUCCUUUACGUAAACUGAAAUUCUCUCCAAUUAAAUAUGGCUACCAGCCUCGCAGGAAUUUUUGGCCAGCAAGAUUAGCUACGAGACUCUUAAAACUUCGCUAUCUCAUACUAGGAUCGGCUGUUGGGGGUGGCUACACAGCCAAAAAGACUUUUGAUCAGUGGAAAGAUAUGAUACCGGACCUUAGUGAAUAUAAAUGGAUUGUGCCUGACAUUGUGUGGGAAAUUGAUGAGUAUAUCGAUUUUGAGAAAAUUAGAAAAGCCCUUCCUAAUUCAGAAGACCUUGUAAAGUUAGCACCAGACUUUGACAAGAUUGUUGAAAGCCUUAGCUUAUUGAAGGACUUUUUUACCUCAGGUUCUCCAGGAGAAACGGCGUUUAGAGCAACAGAUCAUGGAUCUGAAAGUGACAAGCAUUUUAGAAAGCUUUAGCUUGUUUCUGCGGAGGAUUCCGCUCUUUCU